rnacentral:rRNA from 1 species
CCUACGGGCGGCAGCAGGGAGGAAUAUUGGUCAAUGGACGAGAGUCUGAACCAGCCAAGUAGCGUGAAGGAUGACUGCCCUAUGGGUUGUAAACUUCUUUUAUAAAGGAAUAAAACGAGGCACGUGUGCCUUUUUGCAUGUACUUUAUGAAUAAGGAUCGGCUAACUCCGUGCCAGCAGCCGCGGUAAUACGGAGGAUCCGAGCGUUAUCCGGAUUUAUUGGGUUUAAAGGGAGCGUAGAUGGGUUGUUAAGUCAGUUGUGAAAGUUUGCGGCUCAACCGUAAAAUUGCAAUUGAUACUGGCAGUCGUGAGUACAGUUGAGGUAGGCGGAAUUCGUGGUGUAGCGGUGAAAUGCUUAGAUAUCACGAAGAACCCCGAUUGCGAAGGCAGCUUACUAAACUGUGACUGACAUUGAUGCUCGAAAGUGUGGGUAUCAAACAGGAUUAGAUACCCCAGUAGUC